AGCAAUUCUGUGUGCACGAUGACGGUCUUAGGAUUGUAAAGUGCUUUCAAUUGGGAAGAAAAAAAUGACGGUACCAAUAGAAGAAGCGACGGCUAAAUACGUGCCAGCAGCCGCGGUAAUACGUAGGCGGCAAGCGUUGUCCGGAAUUAUUGGGCGUAAAGGGAGCGCAGGCGGGAAACUAAGCGGAUCUUAAAAGUGCGGGGCUCAACCCCGUGAUGGGGUCC
rnacentral:rRNA from 1 species